GGUGUUCUUCUGGUGAUAAUUGUUUGUCUUUAUUGCAUUCCAGCAAUUCUACUCUAUAGAUGAUAUAGAACCUACCAUUUUCAUUUCAAUAGUUACAUUUGAUCCAUGCAUUUUUAAAUCUAUGAUUUUAAUAAACAAAUUGCUUUCUUAAGGUAUUUUAAGCUUAGUAAACCUUUACUUUUACAUAAGGCACAAUGAACAUUUUAAAUAACCAGUACCCUGUUAUUUAACAAAAACAACAGACCAUUGUUAAUUCAUUUGGCCCAACAAUUAACAAACAUUAACAACUCUGCAGUAAUUAGAGCUUUUCAGAGAAACAGAGCAACGUCAGGAGCUCUGUGUUGCUGAAAUCCUCAGGCUGAGGCUCGUAGUGGUGCCAGAGAGAAAAUUCUAGACUCGAGUAGUAGGAUAGCCUUCUUAUUUCUUUGUUCAUUAAAAAUAUAUAUAUCUAUAUUGUAACGGCCCUCACUUCAAAAAAUAUCUUCAAUUUGUAAAAGUACAGAUAUAAUAAACUAUCCAAGCAGUCACUAUAAUCAACCAAUCAGUAAAAGAGGAGAGGAGAAAUUAUUUUAUCAAGAAUUCGCAGGAAAAUACAACUGGGUGUGUAUCAUAUGUGGUCCUGAACUUCAUAGCAACUGAGCAACAGAAGGAAACACUAUUCUUACUAUUUAGCAGAGCCU
rnacentral:lncRNA from 1 species